rnacentral:tRNA from 1 species
GGACAGUUAGCUCAUUUGGUAGAGCUUUCGCUUGACGUGCGAAAGGUGACAGGUUCGAGCCCUGUACUGUCCACCA